GACGUAGGAGGCGAGCGUUAUCCGGAUUCACUGGGCGUAAAGCGCAUGUAGGCGGCGGUGCAAGUCGUGUGUUAAAGCCCCUGGCUCAACUGGGGGAGGUCAUGCGAGACUGCACGGCUGGAGGGCAGUAGAGGCACGUGGAACUCCCGGUGUAGCGGUGGAAUGCGUAGAGAUCGGGAAGAACACCCGUGGCGAAGGCGACGUGCUGGGCUGCACCUGACGCUGAGAUGCGAAAGUGUGGGGAGCAAACGGG
rnacentral:rRNA from 1 species